rnacentral:rRNA from 1 species
GAGAAAUUCAUUCGUGUUUCACUAUUGACUGAAUUGAUUAUUUUUGACGAUAAAUAAGUUGAUUUUCAUCAAUUUGGUGGAUUUUUGAUUUAUAUGUUGCUUAAUAAUUAUUUAUUGUCUGUUAGUGAACGCGUGCAUUUUUCUUCUGGUAGGACGUUGCGAUCCGUUAGCAAAAAAUUAAUCAAUCUAUGAUUUUUUGGUUAUAUGUUCAUUGAUACAUGUACGAAAUUUUUUUUCUAUAUGUUAUUAUUAAUGAGGCUAUGAAAUCUGAUUGAUAUAUCUGACGGUAGAUUAAUGGUUAAAAGUCGCUAAUAUUAUAUUUAGCGUUAGAGGCAAGACAAAUAUAUGAAUUGUGUAAAGGUGCAAUUAUUGUUUUUUCAAAAUGGUAAUUGUAUUCUCGGUAAUCGAUAUUUAUAUCAAUUCCGAGCCGUUUAUGUAUUGUUAGUCGAGCGUUAAAAAGAAAUUUUUAUCUCUAACAGACUUUAUUAUUUAUCAUAUCUGAUAUAUAAAACCAAUCUGCAACGCUAUAGCUUUGGGUAAUUUCAGGACCCGUCUUGAAACACGGACCAAGGAGUCUAGCAUGUACGCGAGCCAUUGGGAUUAUUUAAACCUAUAGGCAUAAUGAAAGUAAAAAUUAAUUUAUCUUGUAUAAAUUAUAGGGAAGAUAAAUGAUGAUAAUAAUAAUGUGUAUUAAUUGUUCUUACGAAUAAUUAAUAUAAUAAGUUAUUUCGCAUUCCCGGGGCGUUUAAAUUUUAUUUGUUUGUAGUAAUGCAUUCAAAUGAGAUUAUGCGCACCAAGAGUGUACACGCUGGGACCCGAAAGAUGGUGAACUAUGCCUGGUCAGGACGAAGUCAGGGGAAACCCUGAUGGAGGUCCGUAGCGAUUCUGACGUGCAAAUCGAUCGUCGGAAC